CAGGACUCGGCUCUGUUCAGCACUCUGUGUGGAGCACACUGGAGGAAUCAGGAGCAGGAGCAGAUUCAGAACGUCUUCAAGAGGUUUCUCUUUCACUAUUCUAAAGCACACAACUCGGUGGGAUCCGUCGAGG